rnacentral:lncRNA from 1 species
GAGGAAAGUGAAAUUAGUAAGUGUGGAUUAGCUCUGAAGUGUGUUUGAUGGGCAUUUUUAUUUGAUGAUUUUCAACCUGAUUUGCAAGUCUGAUACAAGUAUUUUAAAAUUGUACCCUCUUAGAGAAGAGUGAGAAAAAGACAUAUUAGGAAAAUGGAAUUCUUUUAUCUUUGAAAUAUUUUGAUCAUCAUCAUUGUUGGAGUUUCAAAUAGAGGAAGCUUUGUUUCCUUCGUUGUUGGAACUGGGUUGAAUUCGAGUGGGUUAAUUAUCUUUGUCCUGUUUUUGUCCUGCCAUCCUGUCUCCCCUCCUCCAGAUGAUCUCAGAGCUCCUGUGACCUGGCCCACGAUGACACCCAUGGCUGGCUCUGUGCUCUGUGUGGAUUCAGACCUCCAUCACUCUCUGAACAAAUGCCUAUGUAGCUCCUCUGGAUGCCCAGUGCCAUUCUGAGCACUUUACAAAUAGGCUCAGCUUGAUCUUCAUAAUGACCUCUCGGGAAGGUGCAGUGGUGUCCCCAUAUUGUAGGUGGCACCCAGAAAGGGAGAGGGAUGACUGGCAUAGAAGUCUGGCCUUGGGUCUCAGUGUGCUCUGGUCCUGCCUCGGACGUGGACUUUAGCAGAGGGACUCUGUGGUCACCACAGGUCUGUGUGGCUCUGUUUAUACCGCAUUCUGAGAUGGCCCAGGGGGUUCAGCAGCUUCUAGGCCCCAGAGGAGUCUUUAUUCAUGUGACAUUCCGGACCAGAUUGUUAGAAGGAACUGUUCAAAGAAAACAAAUAACAGAUCUCCCCAUUUGCAAUGAAAUGAAAAGCAAAUUUUCAACUAUUUCUACUUAAUCUAUACAGUUAUCCAUUGGAUCUCCCUGGGGAAUUAGAAAAACCAGAGACACACAUUUUCUAUGGCAAAAGCUCUUGUUACAACGUGAAAGAAAGGAAAAGAGAAAUGCUCCAGAGCCGUCUAUGGAGAGCUGUUCAGCGGUCACUACAGCGUUGUUCUGCAGAAAGAAGACUGUUCUGGCUCCGCCAGCGAGGAAGUAGACAGGGCUGAGGGUCGUGUCCGCCCAGUCCAAGGACAGGAGGGUGGGUCUUGGGUGCUCGGCCCCCACCCUGCCCAAAGCCACUCAGGCUCUGCAAGGACCUCCAGGCCAGCUUCCAGCAAGAUCACCACAGCAACAGGAACCCAAACAUCCCCAUCAAAUGCCUCUGGUUUCUGGGUCUCCAGAUGUUUCUGGCAGCCACUGUGAAGCCAAGUUGGACGACACCGUAAAGCUCACCCUGGGGACCGGAACCCCAGGUCCUGCCAAGACUUGCAGUCCUUACAGGACCACCUGC